CUCAGGAUGAACGCUAGCGGCAGGCUUAACACAUGCAAGUCGAGGGGCAGCGUGGGGCAGCAAUGCUCUGACGGCGACCGGCGGAAGGGUGCGUAACACGUGAGCGACUUGCCCGUCACAGGGGGAUAACCGGCGGAAACGGCGACUAAUACCCCAUAUGAUGUGAUGCUGCAUGGCAUCGCAUUGAAAGAUUCAUCGGUGGCGGAUAGGCUCGCGGGACAUUAGCUAGACGGCGGGGCAACGGCCCACCGUGGCGACGAUGUCUAGGGGUUCUGAGAGGAAGACCCCCCACACUGGGACUGAGACACGGCCCAGACUCCUACGGGAGGCAGCAGUGAGGAAUAUUGGUCAAUGGGCGGAAGCCUGAACCAGCCAUGCCGCGUGAAGGACUAAGGCCCUACGGGUCGUAAACUUCUUUAGACGCAGAGCAAUAAGGUCCACGUGUGGACCGAUGAGAGUAUGCGUAGAAUAAGCAUCGGCUAACUCCGUGCCAGCAGCCGCGGUAAUACGGGGGAUGCGAGCGUUAUCCGGAUUCAUUGGGUUUAAAGGGUGCGUAGGCGGCCGAGUAAGUCAGCGGUGAAAGACCGGGGCUCAACCCUGGAAGUGCCGUUGAUACUGUUUGGCUGGAAUGAUCCCGCCGCGGGAGGAAUGAGUGGUGUAGCGGUGAAAUGCAUAGAUAUCACUCAGAACACCGAUUGCGAAGGCAUCUCGCGAGGGGUCAAUUGACGCUGAGGCACGAAAGCGUGGGGAUCGAACAGGAUUAGAUACCCUGGUAGUCCACGCAGUAAACGAUGAUGGCUAACUGUCGGGCCUGCGGGUUCGGCGGCCAAGCGAAAGCGAUAAGCCAUCCACCUGGGGAGUACGACCGCAAGGUUGAAACUCAAAGGAAUUGACGGGGGCCCGCACAAGCGGAGGAACAUGUGGUUUAAUUCGAUGAUACGCGAGGAACCUUACCCGGGCUCAAACGCAGGGGGAAUGCCGGUGAAAGCCGGCAGCUAGCAAUAGUCACCUGCGAGGUGCUGCAUGGUUGUCGUCAGCUCGUGCCGUGAGGUGUCGGCUUAAGUGCCAUAACGAGCGCAACCCUUGCCUUCAGUUGCCAUCAGGUAGAGCUGGGCACUCUGGAGGGACUGCCACCGCAAGGUGUGAGGAAGGGGGGGAUGACGUCAAAUCAGCACGGCCCUUACGUCUGGGGCGACACACGUGUUACAAUGGCGGCUACAGAAGGAGGCUACCCCGCGAGGGGAUGCGGAUCUUAAAAGGCCGUCUCAGUUCGGACUGGAGUCUGCAACCCGACUCCACGAAGCUGGAUUCGCUAGUAAUCGCGCAUCAGCCAUGGCGCGGUGAAUACGUUCCCGGGCCUUGUACACACCGCCCGUCAAGCCAUGAAAGCCGGUGGCGCCUGAAGUACGUGACCGCAAGGAGCGUCCUAGGGCGAAAACGGUAAUUGGGGCUAAGUCGUAACAAGGUAGCCGUACCGGAAGGUGUGGCUG
rnacentral:rRNA from 1 species